AGCGAACGCUGGCGGCAGGCCUAACACAUGCAAGUCGAACGAACCUUUCGGGGCUAGUGGCGGACGGGUGAGUAACACGUGGGAACGUGCCUUUAGGUUCGGAAUAACUCAGGGAAACUUGUGCUAAUACCGAAUGUGCCCUUCGGGGGAAAGAUUAAUCGCCUUUAGAUCGGCCCGCGUCUGAUUAGCUAGUUGGUUGAGGUAAUGGCUCACCAAGGCGACGAUCAGUAGCUGGUCUGAGAGGAUGAUCAGCCACAUUGGGACUGAGACACGGCCCAAACUCCUACGGGAGGCAGCAGUGGGGAAUCUUGCGCAAUGGGCGAAAGCCUGACGCAGCCAUGCCGCGUGAAUGAUGAAGGUCUUAGGAUUGUAAAAUUCUUUCACCGGGGACGAUAAUGACGGUACCCGGAGAAGAAGCCCCGGCUAACUUCGUG
rnacentral:rRNA from 1 species